rnacentral:rRNA from 1 species
UACGUAGGGGGCAAGCGUUGUCCGGAAUUAUUGGGCGUAAAGAGCGUGUAGGCGGCCAGAUAAGUCCGCUGUGAAAUCUCGAGGCUCAACUUCGAGCUGUCGGUGGAAACUAUCUGGCUAGAGUCCGGAAGAGGAGAAUGGAAUUCCUGGUGUAGCGGUGAAAUGCGCAGAUAUCAGGAAGAACACCCGUGGCGAAGGCGGUUCUCUGGGACGGUACUGACGCUGAGACGCGAAAGCGUUGGGAGCGAACAGG